UACGGAGGGUGCAAGCGUUAUCCGGAUUCACUGGGUUUAAAGGGUGCGUAGGCGGGUUGGUAAGUCCGUGGUGAAAUCCCCAAGCUUAACUUGGGAACUGCCGUGGAUACUAUCAAUCUUGAAUAUCGUGGAGGUAAGCGGAAUAUGUCAUGUAGCGGUGAAAUGCUUAGAUAUGACAUAGAACACCAAUUGCGUAGGCAGCUUACUACACGAGCAUUGACGCUGAGGCACGAAAGCGUGGGGAGCAAACAGG
rnacentral:rRNA from 1 species